GCGGGCAUUAUCCCAGACCUAGAGUAGCCGCGGUCUUGCAUCCCAAGUGGUCAUCAUCAACUCCAAAAGAUACCCCCUGACUUAACGUGCUACUGUCUAAUUCCCAUACUACACAGUGCCCUUUUCCCUUCCCCUUCCAGUGUGUGCCCUGCAGAGGAGCUGCCGUUCAAGGAUGCCUCAGUGGACCUCCUGACUUCAUUCACUGCUGCGCAUUGGUUUGAUCUUGAGAAGUUCAUGAGGGAAGCAAAGCGCGUGGUCCGGCCAGGUGCUUGCGUGGCCAUCAGCACCUACACCGUGGACAUGAGUCUGCGCUAUGGAAAGUGCUCUGAAAACCUGACCCAGGUCUUCAGGGAGGUGAGGGAUGGAACUUGUGGGACUUGGUUUUGACAUACUCACAUCAGAGAAUAAAACUUGUCUUGGAAGACUACAAAGAGAUCUUCGAGGCCUUGCCAUUCCCAGACAAGAAGAGGUGAGCAGAACCCCCUCGGUGCAGCACCAGCAGCGGAUGGAGGUGGCAUCUCCGCUCCUCUCUCUGCCAGCAGUCCAGAUAGAGUUGGGUUUGCCAGAGCAGGCAGCUGCCAGCUUCCAGCAGAUGCCUUUGCGUUGUGGCCAACAUGGGCCGCACUCCACUUCUGCUGGAUUGGAUGUGGGUCUAUGCUGGGCCAGCAUAUGAGGUCUGAGGGGUGCAAGAGCCCUUCCUGCCCAAGGCAGAACUGGGUUAGGGAUUUUUCUAUGGUGAGUUAUGAUAAUUUGAGGGUCUGGACCCAUCACCUAAUGGAUGAAGGGGAAAGAGUGGAGUGAGUGAAGGAACCUGCCAAGAGCUACAGGGAGCCAGUGCCUGCCUCCCCACCAAGGCCUGGGGCAGGGGCUGCCUGUGCAGGCAUAAAGGAUGUGUUGGCAGUGGUGAUGCAGAGGUGUUGGUGACCUGGCUUCUGGAGGGGAACAGGCCUGUAUGGAAAGUAUUCACCCCCUUGUCAAUCUGUUGUCCUUGCUCCACUGCCUUUGAGAUUUAACUUGCCAAUGCUGCCUUCUCUGCCAUGUCUCCUAGAAUUACCGAUAUCCUUGAUAAAAUUCCCAUGACUGUCGCUGGUGUGCUGGGUUACUUAGAGUCAUCUUCUCCAUAUCAAGCCUUUCUGAAGAGUGACCCUGAAGCUGCAAAAUCCCUCCUCCAAGAGACUGAAAAGAGGUGAGAAAUCUGCUUGGAAAAACAAGCAGGGCAUGGAGGGUGAGGUUGUGGAGACCCCUUCAAAGCUGGAAGCGAGCUGGGCAGUGAUGUGCUCCCUCCUUCCCCCAUUGUGGAGGGAUACUCAUCAGAGGUUAAGCAGCAGAUCCUCAGCUCAUCACAGAAUUAUUGACAUCGGUCUGAGUCAGUUGACUUAAAGCUUUUCAAGCCUAUGUAGCUGUACAUGAUGUAUCCAUGUUAAGUCUCAUGUCAGAGAUGUCUUGGGUUUCUUUGCUGUCCUCUUGACUAGCAGAGGACAGGAGAAAGACUGAC
rnacentral:lncRNA from 1 species